rnacentral:rRNA from 1 species
AUUGAACGCUGGCGGCAUACUUUACACAUGCAAGUCGAACGGUAACAGGCCGCAAGGUGCUGACGAGUGGCGAACGGGUGAGUAAUGCAUCGGAACGUGCCCAGUCGUGGGGGAUAACGCAGCGAAAGCUGCGCUAAUACCGCAUACGAUCUAUGGAUGAAAGCGGGGGACCGUAAGGCCUCGCGCGAUUGGAGCGGCCGAUGUCAGACUAGGUAGUUGGUGGGGUAAAGGCUCACCAAGCCAACGAUCUGUAGCUGGUCUGAGAGGACGACCAGCCACACUGGGACGGAGACACGGCCCAGACUCCUACGGGAGGCAGCAGUGGGGAAUUUUGGACAAUGGGCGCAAGCCUGAUCCAGCAAUGCCGCGUGCAGGAAGAAGGCCUUCGGGUUGUAAACUGCUUUUGUACGGAACGAAACGGUCCUGGUUAAUACCUGGGGCUAAUGACGGUACCGUAAGAAUAAGCACCGGCUAACUACGUGCCAGCAGCCGCGGUAAGAC